GACAGAGGGGGCAAGCGUUGCUCGGAAUUACUGGGCGUAACGGGCGCGUAGGCGGGAUGGCAAGUCGGUCGUGAAAUCCCUCGGCUCAACCGAGGAACGUCGAUCGAUACUGCUGUUCUUGAGGAUUGCAGAGGAGACUGGAAUUCCCGGUGUAGCGGUGAAAUGUGUAGAGAUCGGGAGGAACACCGGUGGCGAAGGCGGUUCUCUGGGCCUUACCUGGCGCUGAGGAGCGAAAGCGUGGGGAGCGAGCCGG
rnacentral:rRNA from 1 species